rnacentral:rRNA from 1 species
UACGUAGGGGGCAAGCGUUGUCCGGAUUUAUUGGGCGUAAAGAGCGUGUAGGUGGCUUGGUAGGUCUGCUGUGAAAACUCGGGGCUCAACCCCGAGACGUCGGUGGAAACCACCUGGCUAGAGUCCGGAAGAGGAGAGUGGAAUUCCUGGUGUAGCGGUGAAAUGCGCAGAUAUCGGGAAGAACACCCGUGGCGAAGGCGGUUCUCUGGGACGGUACUGACGCUGAGACGCGAAAGCGUGGGGAGCGAACAGG